GGUGUAUUCCCGCCAUCUUGCACCCAGUGUUCCUGGGAUAGACUCUGGAUCCACCGUAACCCUGACCAGGAUAAAGUGGUUCAUGAAAAGAUAGGUGAUGCCUCCCUCCCUGGAUACCUACAUUCUCUGAUCACAGGUCUGUGAAGUGGAGUGACAGUGUGGAGCAGUGGCAGUGAUCAGGAGUGGAGUUCUUCCUGCAGGGCUAUUUGGACAGGAGGAGCCUCCGCUGGCCUUCAGAGCUGGAAAGUAUGUGUACUGUGGCCACUGGCCCACCUCCCAGCCUGGGAACGGAAGCCGGGAGUCGCCAGGGAAAACAACUAGACAAUCAGAUAACCUUUAAGAAUGCCUUUGACAAAAGAAGAACGUAUUGAAAUCAUUCUCAUGGUUGGAUCAGGAAGCUGUCGCAAGGUUGCGAUGGACUUUAACAGGAACCCUGGUAAGCACAUCACACACAACACUGUUGCCAAACCUAUUAACAAAUUCAAAAAGACUAGAAGUGUUGCAGACCGACCUAGAAGUGAACUUUCACGAACAUCCACUGACCUUCGUGGUGUACAAGCAGCGUGGUAUAUGGAGACUUUGGACACCCUGUAUUUACUUGGUAUUAGAAGCAUUGGAAGCAUUCUUAGUAUUACAGUAUCAUGCGGUAACCUGAUACAGAGCAGUGUAAUUAUU